rnacentral:rRNA from 1 species
AUUGAACGCUGGCGGCAUGCCUUACACAUGCAAGUCGAACGGCAGCACGGGAGCAAUCCUGGUGGCGAGUGGCGAACGGGUGAGUAAUAUAUCGGAACGUGCCCAGUAGUGGGGGAUAGCCCGGCGAAAGCCGGAUUAAUACCGCAUACGACCUGAGGGUGAAAGCGGGGGAUCGCAAGACCUCGCGCUAUUGGAGCGGCCGAUAUCAGAUUAGCUAGUUGGUGGGGUAAAGGCCUACCAAGGCUACGAUCUGUAGUUGGUCUGAGAGGACGACCAGCCACACUGGGACUGAGACACGGCCCAGACUCCUACGGGAGGCAGCAGUGGGGAAUUUUGGACAAUGGGCGAAAGCCUGAUCUAGCCAUGCCGCGUGCAGGAUGAAGGCCUUCGGGUUGUAAACUGCUUUUGUACGGAACGAAAAGACUCCUUCUAAUAAAGGGGGUUCAUGACGGUACCGUAAGAAUAAGCACCGGCUAACUACGUG